GUGUUUGAUCCUGGCUCAGAUUGAACGCUGGCGGCAUGCCUUACACAUGCAAGUCGAACGGCAGCACGGGGGCAACCCUGGUGGCGAGUGGCGAACGGGUGAGUAAAACAUCGGAACGUGUCCUGGAGUGGGGGAUAGCCCGGCGAAAGCCGGAUUAAUACCGCAUAAGCUCCGAGGAGGAAAGCGGGGGAUCUUAGGACCUCGCGCUGCAGGGGCGGCCGAUGGCAGAUUAGCUAGUUGGUGGGGUAAAGGCCUACCAAGGCGACGAUCUGUAGCUGGUCUGAGAGGACGACCAGCCACACUGGGACUGAGACACGGCCCAGACUCCUACGGGAGGCAGCAGUGGGGAAUUUUGGACAAUGGGCGCAAGCCUGAUCCAGCAAUGCCGCGUGUGUGAAGAAGGCCUUCGGGUUGUAAAGCACUUUUGUCCGGAAAGAAAACCUCUGCCCUAAUACGGCGGGGGGAUGACGGUACCGGAAGAAUAAGCACCGG
rnacentral:rRNA from 2 species